rnacentral:lncRNA from 1 species
CAUUGGACUUGGACAGCUUUGUUCCUUCUCUGGGACCAAGUCAACAAGCUGGGACCAGAGGAGCUGCGGCUGUAGCACGCAGGGACCGAACAAAAGAGCAAAUAUACAGAUAUCCCUGGAAGCCAGAGUUCUUGGAAGGAAGAAAUACACAUACAGAAUGGGAGAAGGCAAGGAAAAACCCUGUAAGGUUGGGAUGCAUUCAGAGAAAUAGAAACUUCUGAUUCCAUAUAGGUAUCUAUUUCCUAGGUCUGUCUAUGAAAGCUCUUAAAACAGUGCACUCACAUAGAAAUGAACACAUCUAGUACCCAGAUCUCAGUUUCUAAAUGCUAUUCCCACUAAACAAACCAGUACUCAUUGUGGAAAUAGCUACUAAUUCAAUUCAAUAACUGGGGCAGGGAAAGCACAAGAUAAGAUCAUCAUCUUGUUGUGCCAAAGAGUAAGAAAGUGUCUUAAAAACUUGGGAAGCAUAUAACAAUACACAGAAGCAUGCUUGAAGGGGCUCCCACUUUGAUAUCUGGGACGAUGUGAGUAAGGAAAUUAAUGAGAACUGUUGUAGAUUAUAAACAAUUAAACAUAAUAAAUUCCAUGAGUCCCUACUAAUAAAAAUUACAUAGACAGAUAAAUGAUGGAUGGAUGGAUGGAUGGACGAAUUGAUUGAUAGAGAGAUAUAAAGAGAACGAUAGGCAAGAAACAACCAAUGGAUCUUGGGUAGAGGAAGGUAGUUUUAUAAAAAAUACUUGCAAAAUCUAAAAGCAUAUCACUACAAAUUACUUAUAAAGAAAAAAGAAAAAAGUGGAGAAACUGAACACUUGCAACCAAGUGAUCUAAAUUAACAUUACCAAUGAAGGGCACACAGACAUAUUGUGCCUCUGGAUGUAUGCCCCAUGAAAAAUAAAAUAUCACCUGUGGAGUACACUAGCCAUAAAGGGAUAAUUUCCAUUUUAUCAUAAAAAAUAUAAAAAAUAUCCACAUUGAGAAACAAUAGUCAAAAUAUCUGAGCUUUGUUUUUCAAAAUUAUCAAUAAUAUAAAAAACAAAGAACAGCUGAAUAUGGUUCCUAAUUAAAGGAAAGUAAAGAAACAUGACACCUAAAUGCAAUUCAUGACUCUAGAUUGGAUUCUUAAACUGGGGCAGGAGAUAAUAGUCAUAAAGCAUACUAUGGGAAAACUGACAGUUCUGGAAUAUGAUCUGUAGGUCAAAUGUUAUAUGAAUGUUAAAUUGCUUCAAGACAUUGAUGAAAGAAGGGAAAUCCUUAAAUGAUGGGCCCAUUUAUUAUGCCUGCUCCUCCAUAUGUUUUAGAAUCAAGUUCAGUGAGAACAUAAAAUGUUCCUUUUUUUCUCCAUCAUCACUAUCAAGUCAGCCUGACAAAGGCCCAGUAUGGCCAACAUUUCACAUUCCCUGAUUACUACUUCUCAACUAAAUGAGGCUUAGCUUUACUGUCCAUGCAUAUACCAAGAAGGACAGAGAUGAUACCAUGCUGUAAGUCUACAGUUUUCCCGAACCCAGCUCUGCAGAGACUACUUUAAAGAGAUCUAGGUGCUGAUUUUAUUUGUGGGAACCAAAGCUCCAUUGAAGUGAACACACAAGCUAAUUAGCAGAUUUCGAACCUUAGAAACCUUCAUUAUAUUAUAAUCCUACAUCAUCUUUUGAAGCUCAAACAAAAUGUAACUCUGCUCAUUAAUCGUUGGCAGUAAGUGCAUCAUCUCUGCCUUUGAAUACCCUCAGGCUAAUGAUAUGCUGAAAGGUGUCAGGCAGAGGAUGACUCAUAAUGGUAGUUUUUGCUGGAGCUAUUACUCUGUAUGCACACACAUAUACCACUGUAAAUGACUUUUUCUGUACCUGUGUGCUUGCCUCUUUCAAUUGCAUGUGUGUGUGUCUGUGUGUGUACAGAUGCAUACUGAUGCUUAUAGGUGUAAGUUCAUGCCUCUGUGCAAGUGUGUGGACACCUCUGUGUCUGUGUGGAUAAAUACCUCUGCAUUGCUGUGCUACUUUGUGUGUGUGUGUGUGUGUAAAACUCAUACACUACUAAGUAUAAAAUGGAUGAACAAUGUAUUUAUAAGGAUCUCUUUAAUGGUAAGUGACAUUAAACUAAACUAAAAGUUGUUUAAGGAAAAAGGAAAUUUAUUGGCUUAUUUAACAGAAAUAUUUAGGGUUAGCUUUAAGUUCCCACAUGGAAAAGGAAAAAUUGGAACCACCCACACAUAGUGAUGGCUGGUCCCCUGCAUAUAUCAAUUCUGCUGAGCAGGAAUAACAGGAUUCUCUGCCCUGGUGACCAGAGUCUGCUUUGGGCACCUGGUCUGGGGACCUUCACUGAGCUGUUUCUAAGGCAUUCCUUUUUUUUUUUUUUUUUUCUUUUUCUUUGGCUUUUAGUUUCUUUGCUUCCAGGCAAUUCCUGGGGUAAGUAACAAAGCCAGAAGUUUCAUCAAGUCACCAUAUUUAAACCCAGAAACAAAUCUGAGAAUUUCUAUUUUCAAUCAACAGGCCUUCCUUCAUCCCCUCAACCCUCAGCUUUGUGGCCUCUAUCUUGGACUGUCAAAGGCCAGUUUAAACAAUGGUCACACAGAGAUUCACACUUCUCGCAAGCCCCAACUCAAUCUCCUGCCAUGUUUUUCAGGAAAGCGUUAACCCAGUUGUCCUGAGUUGCUCCAACUUUGCAGUUCUCAAGAAAGCCCUAUUCUGUGGUGAGGCCUUAAACAGUUCUUGGGAAUUGAGAUCUUGGAAUGUUCUAACUUCUAGGAAUGCUUUAAACACUUGGGACCUUGAGCCAUAUUAUGCCAGGCUUUCUAAAUAGUUUGUAUGAGGAAUGUGAUUUAUGAACAAACUCAUUUCCUUUGGGGACCUGGAUCUUCAGCAACUGUAGUCAGUCCUACGGAUACUAUAUCCCUAUGUAACCAACCCACAAUGAAAAUUGUGAACUUAUAGGCUUAGACAAGUCUCUGUAAUAGACAAAACUUUACAUGCACCUUCACAAUUUAUUCUUGGAAGAAUUAAGUGCAUCUUAUGUGUAUUAAGUGUAUUUUCUAGUGACUCCACUAGAAGAAUAUUCUUAGAAGCUUGUGCCUGAUUUUCUCCAAACGUUACCCAUACACCUUUUCUCUUCACUGAUUUUUCUUGGGACCCUUUACUAUAAUAAACCACAAUCAUGAGUAUAAUGACUUCUAAGUCCUAAAAGCUCUUCUAAUAAAAUCACCAAAACAGGAGUGGUCUUGGGGACCUCCAAAACACUUUGCUUCUAGAGUAAGUUUUUACUGCUAUAAAUUUCCCUCUCAGGACUGCUUUAGAUGCAUCCCAUAUGUUUUGACACAUUAUUGUUUCAAUUUAAUUUGGUUUUGUAUAUGUAUUAAAUGUCCUUUGAGAUUUCCUUUUUGACCAAUAAAGUAUUUAGAAGUAUGUUGCUUAAUUCCCACAUAUUUUGAGAAUUUCCUGUAGACUUUAUUUAUUUCUAGUUUGAUUCCAUUGUAGUCAGAGAAAACACACUGUAUGAUUUCAGUUCUUAUAAAUUUGUUGAGGUAUAUUUUAUGGCUCAGAAUAUGGAAUAUAUAACUGAAUGUUAAAUGGGCACUUGAAAAAAAGUUUAUUCUGCUAUUGUGUGGAGUUUUUACAUAUGUCGUUUAGAUACUAUUGGUGAAUAAUUGUGUGGUUCAUAUCUUUUAAGUAUUUUCUGAUUUACUGUCUAGGAGUUCUAGGAGUUCUAUCAGUUGCUGAAAGGUAAUGCUGAAGUACUGAAUUAUAACUGUAGAUUUACCUAUUUCUCCUUGCAAAUCUAUCAGUUUUUGCUUUAUGCAUUUUGAAGCUCUGUUUUUUGGUGUGUACAUUUAGAAUUACUACCUCUUCCUAGUAAGUUGAUCCUUUUAUUAUUAUGUAAUGUGACUUUUUCUCUAGUAAUUUUCUUUGCUCUGAAGUCCACUUUAUUAGAUAUUAAUACACCACACCUGCAUUUUUGCUUAAAGUUUGCAUGGUAAAUUUUUUCUAUUCCUUUAUUUUCAAUCCACCCAUAUCAUUGAAUUUAA